rnacentral:lncRNA from 1 species
GGUUUAUCUGAUUUAUAUGGAAGAGUUCCAUAUGAAUAAACCUCCUCCACACCAAAAGCCAUGCAAGAAAAAUUUGGCAUGCCCCAUUUAUUUUUGGCAUUAAGAAGGAAGAGUCCUUCUUAACAAGGUAUCUUAAUUUCUUUCAAGUUCCACACAUUUUUCAUUAAUCAUCAUAUCAUGUGAUGGCACUUGGGAUAUGAGGC